CAAACUCAUUUAUAUAUAGUGCAGUCUCCGUUCUUUUUCGGUGCCUCUCACAAUGACAAUAGUCAAGUAGCUGCAGUUCUGUUUUCGGGAGUUGAUUACUUUUGAUUACCAAUCAGUUAUAGCAGUUCUCGGUUUUUUGUUAGAGGACUAUAAGUUCAGUUCGGUUGCUAACAACUCAACAUCCUGAAUAGGUACAGCAAUAAUGCAAUCAUCUACAUAUCGAAAAAAGAAUGGAAUAUUUCUAUCAAGUUUGCUUAGAACCGUUUCCUCAAGAACUUCCAUUACCAAUUGUGCCAUAACUCUUGAAAUGGAAGCUCCCAUAGCACAACCAUCAAUUUAUUCGUAUAUUUCAUUUUCAUAUUUGAAAUAUGUUGUAAGUGUGAGUUCUGUAGCUUUUAUAAAUUCAUUUUGAGAUA